AAACCAAAAAAACGGAGCCUGACUCAUUAUUACAGAUAGUGAUGUCACACUGAAGUGGCUACGUUUCUAAACAAAGGUCACAGUUCCAGUUACACCAAGCCUUCUUGUUGCAGUUUGUCCUGGUCUGGGCGCCCUCUUGUCUAUACUUGCUUCAUCUUCAAACUGAAUGAGGAAUUCCCUGUGCACACCUGUGACCUCGCGUUCCGACCAAGCUGCGGGAAGACUACAGAGUCAGCCUUAGGACAGGAAUAAACUCUGUUUAAAUUCAAAUAAUCCCGCGGGUACAGGUCACCCACCAACGGCUGAAGCCUGUUCGCCAGAGCCAAGCGUCCUCCCGCCCCGCUGUCAUUCAGGCACGAGGGGGCGAGGCCUUGGGAACUGCCCAAUCAGGGAGGUCGCUGGGGCCUGUGGGUGGGGUGACGCCCCUCAACGGAAGGGCUGUAGCUAACCGCUCUGGCUUUGCUCCGGAUGCUUAUCUUCCCCUAGUGGUCUUCUUCCUCUGCCGCAGGCUGUGUUGUGCUGUGAUCUAUACGGGUCGUGGGAGUCUUAGGAAGGAUUCGGGGAGACCCAGGAAACCUAGAAAUGGACUCGGUAGCCAUUGAAGAUGUGGCUGUGAAUUUCACCCUGGAGGAGUGGGCUUUACUGAAUCCUUCACAGAAGAAACUCUACAGAGAUGUGAUGCGGGAAACCUUCAGAAACCUGGCCUCAGUAGGGAAAAAAUGGGAGGAUCGUGACAUUGAAGAUCAGUACAAAAACCAGGGGAGAAAACUAAGAAGUCAUGUUGUAGAGAGACUCUGUGAAAGUAAAGAGGGUAGUCAAUGUGCAGGAAACUUCAGCCUUAUUCCAAAACUCAGUCUGAAGAAGAAAACUACUGGAGUGAAACUACAUGAAUGCAGUGCAUGUGGAAAAGUCUUUAUGCAUCAUUCAUCCCUUAAUAGGCAUAUCAACCGUCAUAGUGGGCACAAACUGUAUGAGUAUCAGAAAUAUGAAGAGAAGCCAUAUAAAUGUAAGGAAUGUGGUAAAGCCUUCAGUUAUCUUCAGUGUUUUGAAAAACAUGAAAGAAAACACAGUGGACAGGAGAACUAUAAAUGUAAGGAAUGUGGGAAAGCUUUUCGUUUUCGCACAUCCUUUCAAACACAUAAAAGGAUUCAUACAGGAGAAAAGCCCUAUGAAUGUAAAGAAUGUGGGAAGUCCUUUAUGUGGCUUACAACCUUUCAAAGACACAUGAUAACGCACACUGGAGAUACUCCUUAUAAAUGUAAGGAAUGUGGGAAACCCUUUAAGUGGCUCACAACCUUUCGGAGACACAUGAUAACACACACUGGAGAUGCUCCUUAUAAAUGUAAGGAAUGUGGGAAAGUCUUUACUUUUCUAAGUGCACUACAAAUACAUGAAAAAACCCACAUGGGAGAGAAACCCUAUCAAUGUAAACAAUGUGGAAAAGCCUUUAGAUAUCGUCGAACUUUUCAAACACAUGAAAGGAUUCACACAGGAGAGAAACCCUAUGAAUGUAAGCAAUGUGAUAAAGCUUUUAUUUCCCGUGUAGGAUUACAAAACCAUGAAAGAAAUCACAAUGGAAAGAAAUUCUAUGAAUGUAAAAGAUGUAGUAAAGCAUUCAGUUAUUCCAGUUCUCUUCGAAAACAUGAAAGAAAUCAUACUGGAGAGAAACCCUAUGAAUGUAAGGAUUGUGGAAAAGGUUUUAUUUUUCUCUCAAGCCUUCGGGCACACAUGAUAAGUCACUCUGGAGAUGGACCUUAUAAAUGUAAGGAAUGUAAGAAAGCAUUCAUUACUCCCAGUUCAUUUCAAAUACAUGUAAGGACUCACACAGGCGAGAAGCCUUAUAAAUGUAAACAAUGUGGGAAAACUUUCAAUUGGCCCACUUCCAUUCGCAGACAUGAAAAAAGUCAUAGUGGAGAGAAACCCUAUGAGUGUAGGCAAUGUGGUAAAGCCUUCAGUUGUCCCAGAUCCUUUCAAAGCCAUGAAAGGAAACACAGUGGAGAAAAGCCUUAUGAAUGUAAAAAAUGUGGUAAAGCCUUCAGUUGUCCAUAUUCCUGUCGAAAACAUGAAAGAAAUCAUGAUGGAGAGAAACCUUAUGAAUGUAAAGAAUGUGAGAAAGCCUUCAGUUCUCUCAUCAAAUUUCAAAGACACGUGAUGAAGCACACUGGAGAUGGACCUUAUAAAUAUAAGGAGUGUGGGAAAGUCGUUGAUUGUCCCAAUUACUUUCGAAGUCAUGAAAGGAUUCACAGUGUAGAAAAGCCCUGUGAAUGUAAGGAAUGUUGUAAAGCCUUCAGUACUCCUAGGUCCCUUCGAAGACAUGAAAGAACUCAUACUGGAGAGAAACCUCAUGCAUGUAAGGAAUGUGGUAAAGCCUUCAGUUAUCCCAGUUUCCUUCAAAAACAUGAAAGAAGUCAUACUGGGGAGAAACCCUAUCAAUGUAAACAAUGUGGUAAAGCCGUCAGCUAUCUCAGUUCCCUUCGAAGUAAUGAAAGAACUCAUAGUGGAGAGAAACCCUAUGGAUGUAAGGAAUGUGGGAAAGCAUUCAUUUUUCUCUCAAAAUUUCGUUUACACAUGAUAAAACACACUGGAGUUGGACCUUACACAUGUAAGAAAUGUGGGAAAGCCUUCGAUUGUCCCAGUUCAUUACGAAACCAUGAAAGAACUCACACUGGAGAGAAACCGUAUGAAUGUAAGAAUUGUAGUAAAGCCUUCAGUCAUCUCCGUUCUUUACGAAACCAUGAAAGAACUCAUAUUGGAGAGUAGCGCUUGGGAAAGCCUUCAGUUCUGUCACUAAAUUUUCAAGACAUGUGGUGAAGGACACUGGAGAUGGACCUAAUAGUGUAAGGAAUGUGGGAAGGCCUUCGAUUUUUUUCAGUUCAUUAUGAAAUCAUGAAAGAACUCACACUGGAGAGAAACCACACGAAUGUGAAAAUUAUAGGAAAGCCUUCGAUUGUCCCAGUUCUGUUCAAAACCAUGAAAACACUCAUAAUGGAAAGUAGGCCUAUGAAUGUCAGGAAUGUAGGAGAUCCUUCAGUUGUCCCAGUUCAUUCUGAAUACAAAAAAAGAAUUCACACUGGAGAGAAACCCUGUGAAUGCAAACUGUAUGGUAAAGCCCUCAGCAAUUCCUAUUAUGUUCAAAUAUGUGAAAGAACUCUUACCAGAAACUGAACGUAAGGAAUAUUGGAAAGCCUUUAUCACACAACAUUUUAAGGACACAAGAUGGUGCACACCAUGUAAGCAUGAGGAAUUGGGGAGGUUUUCAGUCCCAUUUUCUUGGGAAAGAACUCACUCUAGAGAGAAUUCUGUUAAAUAUAAACAAUAUAUGAAAACCUUCAUUUGCCCUACAUCCUUACAAAACCAUGUGAGAAUGUACACUGGAUAGAUACCAAGUAACUGAAAAGUAAAGCAAACUAUUCAGUUGAAACAAAUAUUUUUGUAGUCAUGUGAAAACUGCACUGGAAAAAACUCAUGUUAAUUCAGGAAUAUUCUCAAAACUGAAGAGAGUCCAAGAUGGUGGAGUAGGAAGACCCUGAGCUCACCUCCUCCCAUGGGCACAUCAAAAUUACAACUGUUUACCAAGCAACUAUUGAUGAGAAAGACCUGAACACUAGCAGAAAAGAUCUUCUACAUGUAAAGAUAGGAAGAAGGACCCACAACGAGACCAGUAGGAAGUGUGGAGAAAUGUUAGUCAAGACCCAUUACCCACAAACAGGAGGAUAAUUACAAUUGCAGAAGUUGUCCCAAGGAGCAAGGGGGUCCAAACCCCACAUCUUGCUCCCCAGCCUAAGGGCCCUGCACUGGAAAGACAAGCCCCCAGAACAUUUGGCUUUGAAGACCAGCAGGGCUUACUUUCAGGAUACUCAGAGGGCUGUAGGAAAUAGAGACUCCACUCUUCAGGGAUGCACAUAACAUCUCAUGUGCUCCAAAAUCCAGGGCAAAAGCAGUAAUUUGAAAGGAGCCUAGGUUUGACCCACCUGCUGAUCUUGGAGAGACUGCUGGAAAAGCAGGAGGCGACUGGUGUUUACUCUCGGGACAUAGACACUGUGACAGCCCUUUUGGGGCUGUCCACAAGGUUACUGGUGCUGACAAGUGUGGUUUUGGAAUUGUCCUUCUAGCUUAUCAGCACAAGAGACCUGCACUACCCACCAGCCUGUUGGCACCAGUAUUGGGAUACCUCAGGCCAAGCAGCUAGCCAGGUGGGGAUGCAGCCCCACCCACCAUAUGGCCAGCUGCCUUAAGACACAUUGAGCCCCCAGUUGCCCUGGCACUGGUUCUGGGACCCCUGAGGCCCCACAGCCAGCUGUUGGGGCCCAACCCAAUAUACCAGUGGGCCUACACCAGGAUCCAGCCCCAUCCACCAGUGGGCCAGUACCAGCUUUGGGACACCCCAGACCUUGUAGCCGUCUGUGACAGAAAUAAGCCCUGCUCACCAGUGGGCUGACACCAACUCUGAGACCCCCAGCUUACUGCAGCCAAAGACCUCAGGAUCUGGCUCCACCCACCAGUGAGCUGGCAUUAACCCCAGGACCCCCUGGGCCUCAGCCCCACCUACCAACUCUAAGACACCUUGGACCCUUCAGCCAGCCACCCUGGGAUUUGGCCCCAGUCACCACCAGGCUGACAGAUUUGGGGGUCCCAGGCCCAUGACCUCCCACCCUGGAAACUAGCUCCACCCACCAGUGGGCCAGCACUGGCCCUCGGACCCCCUGGGGCUCUAUAGCCAGCCACCUCAUGUCCUGACCCUACCUACCAACAGUCAGCAACCUCCCCACAAGGCAGGACCUGGCAACCAACUGGACCAAGGGGCAGCCACACCUAGUCAGCCCGCUGCACGAGAAGGACCCACAUAGGGGGCACACCUAGAGCAUAUACCUCUGGUGUCCAGAGGAGAGAGCACUGCUGGCACACAUAGGACGUCUCCUACAAAAGGCCACUUCUCCAACGUCUGGAAACAAGCAAUGUGCCAAAUACAUAGAAAUUUAAAAAGCAAAUUAGGCAAAGUGAGGUGACAGGAAUAUGUUCCAAACAAGGAACAAGAUAAAACCCCAGAAGUAGAACUAAGGAAGCAGAAAUAAGCAAUCUGCUUGUUCAAGGUAAUGAUCAUAAAGAUGCUCAAAGAACUUGGGAGAAGAAUGGGUGAACAGAGUGAGAAAUUAGUCAUUUUUAACAAAAAUUUAAAAAAUACA